UCUGGUUGAUCCUGCCAGUAGUCAUAUGCUUGUCUCAAAGAUUAAGCCAUGCAUGUCUAAGUAUAAAUAGUAUACAGUGAAACUGCGAAUGGCUCAUUAAAACAGUUAUAGUUUAUUUGAUAAUUGACAAUUACAUGGAUAACCGUGGUAAUUCUAGAGCUAAUACAUGCUUAAACGCCCGACUUUAUGGAAGGGUGGUAUUUAUUAGACUGAAGCCAAUAUUCCUUGUGUCUAUUGCGGUGAUUCAUAAUAACUGAUCGAAUCUCUUUUUGAGAUAAAUCAUUCAAGUUUCUGCCCUAUCAGCUUUCGAUGGUAGUGUAUUGGACUACCAUGGCAGUAACGGGUAACGAAGAAUUAGGGUUCGAUUUCGGAGAGGGAGCAUGAGAAACGGCUACCACAUCUAAGGAAGGCAGCAGGCGCGUAAUUACCCAAUCCUGAGUCAGGGAGGUAGUGACAAGAAAUAGCAAACCGGGAACCUCAUGGUUUCACGGUAUUGCAAUGAGAACAAUUUAAAACCCUUAGCGAGAAUCAAGUGGAGGACAAGUCUGGUGCCAGCACCCGCGGUAAUUCCAGCUCCACUAGCGUAUAUUAAAGUUGUUGCAGUUAAAAAGCUCGUAGUUGAACCUCUGUCUGGGGCUAGUUUUGGCUUUGGUCAGGCUAGUUCUAGGCAUCCGCCUACAAGACUUAGAGGGCAUUCAGUUGUUCACUAGGAGGAGUAGGCAUUUUACUUUGAAAAAAUUAGAGUGUUUAAGGCAGGCAAUCGCCCGCAUAUAUUAGCAUGGAAUAAUAGAAUAGGACACUUUUCCAUUUCGUUGGUUAUUGGAAUCGUGUAAUGAUUAAUAGGGACAGUUGUGGGCAUUUGUAUUUAAUUGUCAGAGGUGAAAUUCUUGGAUUUAUUAAAGACAAACUAACGCGAAAGCAUUUGCCAAGGAUGUUUUCAUUAAUCAAGAACGAAAGUUAGGGGAUCAAAGACGAUCAGAUACCGUCCUAGUCUUAACUAUAAACUAUUCCGACUCAAUGUUUGACUGGCUUAUAUAACCAGUUGAGCGUUGUAUGAGAAAUCAAAGUCUUUAGGUUCUGGGGGGAGUAUGGUUGCAAAGCUGAAACUUAAAGGAAUUGACGGAAGAGCACAACCAGGAGUGGAUUCUGCGGCUUAAUUUGACUCAACACGGGGAAACUUACCAGGUUAAAACAAUAGUGGGAUUGACAGUUUGAGAGCGCUUUCUUGAUUGGUUGGGUGGUGGUGCAUGGCCGUUCUUAGUUGGUGGAGUGAUUCGUCUGCUUAAUUGCGUUAACGAACGAGACCUUAACCUGCUUACUAGACUGGCGAUC
rnacentral:rRNA from 1 species